rnacentral:rRNA from 1 species
GAGUACGACCGCAAGGUAAACUCAAAUGAAUUGACGGGGACCCGCACAAGUAGUGGAGCAUGUGGUUUAAUUCGAAGAUACGCGCAGAACCUUACCAACACUUGAUAUGUUCGUCGCGACUCUAAGAGAUUAGAGUUUUCGGUUCGGCCGGACGAAACACAGGUGCUGCAUGGCUGUCGUCAGCUCGUGUCGUGAGAUGUUGGGUUAAGUCCCGCAACGAGCGCAACCCUCACUUUUAGUUGCCAUCAUUUAGUUGGGCACUCUGAAAGAACUGCCAGUGAUAAGCUGGAGGAAGGUGGGGAUGACGUCAAGUCCUCAUGGCCCUUAUGUGUUGGGCUACACACGUGCUACAAUGGCAUUUACAAUAGGAAGCGAGAUGGCGACAUCAAGCAAAUCCUAAAAAGAUGCCUCAGUUCGGAUUGUACUCUGCAACUCGAGUACAUGAAGCUGGAAUUACUAGUAAUCGCGGAUCAGCGUGCCGCGGUGAAUACGUUCCCGGGUCUUGUACACACCGCCCGUCACACCAUGGGAGUUGGUUCUACCUUAAGGCAAGGUUUAAAAACCUUGACCACGGUAUAGUCAGCGACUAGGGUGAAGUCAA